UGUGAGCCAUCAUCCCGACUUCUUAAGAAGUUCUUUACCACAGGCUUGUAGCUGUUGUUCUGGUGCUGUGUUCUGACCACACAGCAGUGUUGUCCUUCCUUCAGAUUGUACAUGGCAUGGGGAUUGCUCAGCCUGGUAGUGAAUCUGAAGACACUGCAAAGCCUCCAUUCUUUUGAUAUUUCUAUCUUUUUUCUCCAUCCUCCCUUAAAAAUGGUUCCAAACUCUUUUUUCAUGUGAAACUCAUUUAGAGAGUGAUUCAAAUACCAGGACCAUCCAAAGAAUGUUUAAAGUUUCCAUUCCACCAAGCAGCUUUACUCUAUGAGCAGACAAGAGUUCAGGCAGGACACACCCAAGACUGCGGUGGACUCCAGAGCUCCCAGGCAGAGCUCUUGGUAGGGAGCCUGGAGACAAAGAAUGGUGGACCCUCCCUGUGGAGGAUCUCUGCAGGAGUGAGUGAAGAGAGAUAGAAGAGCUGCAGAGUGAGGAUGACAGACAAACACGUGAACAGCUCCUGGCAGUUUUCCCUGAAGCUGAAGUGAAGCUGGACCACAGCUGAUUAAACUAAAGAUGCUCAGCCUCCCAAACUGGCAAGAAGAACUUGGGUGAUGUUACCAAAGCAGGCGUGAAGAUUCUGAAACUCUCUGGGAAAUCAGCUUUAAUGAGGACGUGCUUUGCUUCUCCUUCUGAAAGAAAGCUACCAAGACUUGUCAGUGUGAUCCCUACAGCCGCGAUAUACAUCCCAGGCAGGACGGCCCUGUUUAAAGUCACAUUCCUAUCUUGUCACUCCGUUUCUCUUGAUUGUCAGUGGGUUUGCAUGUAACUUUCACGAUGUCCAUUUGAUCUUGUAAAGAGCGAGAGGUCUGACUUGUGAGCAGCUCAGUCUUUUCUCUCUGGCUCGCUCCUCCAGGGCAGGGGGUAGUAUAUUUCCCAACACCCUGGAGUGUCUAGUUGAAUAUAUGAAACUCACGCAGAACUUGAACCAAGCAGGAGUUGAAGGAUGGAGAGGAGAGACUCUGCUUGAUGGACCAACUGUCUACACAUUUGCAAAACUUAAAAGAGAACUUGCAAGGUCUAUUUUAUUUUUAUUUUUGGUAUCGCACUAUUCCAGCAAGGUAAUGGUUAAGGAGUAAAUGAAGUGAAUUAGAAACAGGUGGACUCGCUUUUCUUGACACUUGCCCUGAUAUAUUUCAGAUUCCGUGCACCUC
rnacentral:lncRNA from 1 species